CUCGAUGUGCCCUCUUCUAUUCAGCAAGCACAGGUCGGUGUCAGCUCUGAUUAGCAUAAAACCCAGCCUGCCUCAAAUUAAGGCACGAGGACGGAGGCUCGCGCUCCUUCUUUCACAUCAGGCAGAGGAGGAAUGAACAGGUCUCUGCUGCACGAGCCUGCUGGUAAGAACUUUACUCCAUUUUACUGUACAGCAGAGAAUUCAUAGUUUGUUGUGCUUGUCCUCUCUUAUAGUGCUCCUGACUAAAAUAUCUGCGAAAGGAUGAUUUGUCGUGUUUGUACUUUUGGUUUGUCGUUCAGAGAAAGAGAAAGUUGAAUCUUUUUUCUGCAGUCGCUGUUACAGACUUACUGCGACCAAAAACGCUAAGCUUAUACUUACCAAUUUUGAUUUCAGGCUAAUUAUUAUUUGAGUAUUCCUUUUUAAUCGUUUCAAAUAAUGUUACAGGUAACCUAUGUUCAGCAUGUCCCUAGACACAAAACUGAACAUGGGCCACAUUGCCAUAGAGAGUUUGAGGAAACCUCUCUCCUGUCCAUAAACCAUCUUUGUAACAGUCUGCAGGGUAAUAGGCCGAUUAUUUUAUGAACCCUUUGGUGCAGGUUAUUUACUGUCAUCUACUGUGAAAAUGCAAUGUUGUGUCGUUUUAGUGUGAUUUGGCAUCUUUACAGUUUAUAAAAGGGCUACAGCUUAACAGGCCAUGAGGUUUUUUUAUUCUUAUUUCUACAACCACUUACUGUAAACUCAUGUUACCAUUAUCCAUGUAAAGUAAAAUAAAGGCUCAUUUUGAAUUUACAUUUUAUCAUUUUUAAUUUUAAGUAUAUAAGCUGUAUUAAAAAAUACUUUUUAUCAGUCUGUUCCACUUUGUCAUUCCAAAAUACAGAAAUGCAAUCUGACUAUCAAGGAAAUAAAAGAUGGUUACAGUUUUCUAUAGAAAUGUGAAAUCAACAAAACAACAAGGUUUAGAGGAUAAAUUCUUAUAAUUUUCACAGGGCUGAAAAAAGUAGGCAACAUGUUUAAAAUAUACAUCCAUGUAUAUUUUAAAUGUCAUCACAAAAUUUUGGUCACACAGGCCAACCUAUCGUCUAAUUCUGUAUCUUCAGUAGACUCAAUGUAAUAAGAGGCCUACAAGAUUUAAGAAAGAUAAAGACUAAAACUGUCUCCAUAGUAUUCAUAGAAAAUACACAAGCUAUUAAAACUCUAAAAUAAAAGUUUGAAAUUAAUAGAUUAAUAUAUUUAUGAAUCAGUUAAAGAGAUUUACCAGUUCCUUUUUUAAAAAACAUACUUUUAUGUAGAAAUUAGGAAAUGUCAAAUUCAGAAAGCCAAGCUGAGAAAGUAAUAUGCUUCCCAACAUUUUCUUGAUAAAAUGUCAAACUUAAGAUAUUACUGCACAGUGUUACUGGUAAAAUAAUAAAAAAUAAAAGAUUGUACACAUUAAAUAGCUGGAAAAUAAAAUAUCCCUCAUGUCUGCCUGUUUUAUCUCUUUCUGAAAGUUGUACAUUCCAGACAAUUGAAAAUAACAUUUUAAUGACAGAUUAAGAGCCGGACGAUACUCAAGCUUCAAAAACUUGAGGAAACAUUAACACAAUUCAUUAAGUUUAAAAUUCUCCCAAAAACAAAAUUACAAAAAAGUCUUACUGUACCAAGUAUCUUUAACUUCCUCCUUUCACAAUACAGAUAAAAUAAAAGUUGAUGGUCAGUUAAAGUAGGUGUAAAAUCAAAAUGUACCACAGCUUGUAUUGAUAUUGAUAUAAAAUAUUGAUAUAUAUUGAUAUAAUUAAAUCACAAAGAAAUUAUCAGAUUUAACUAACUACCUUUUUUGAAAUGAUAAACGAAGAAUCAAGUAAAAUAAAAUAAUAGGUUUUGUGAUAAUCAGUAUAGAAAAUGUGGAUAAACUUAAGUUAUAUUCAUGUUUGUAGACUUGAAUUGUUGAUUCAACAACUAGUGAAAAAAAACUAAGCAAUGUUAUACUAUUUAAGCUGUAGAAAUUAAACUAGAAACGUACAGAUAAACAUCCAGUCUACUUUACUACUACUACUACUACUAGUAAUAGUAAUAAUAAUACAUUAAGCAAAGAUGUCCAAAGUUUUUCAUUUCAUGUUACACUGCAUCUUCUAAACCCCUAUUCUCUGUCAUGUUUCAACAGGUGAGUUUAUCCAGACACUAAAUCACAAAGUAUAAAUAUACAUCUAUAUAAGAAAAACUUUUCUAAAUAGCAAACUUCCCCCCCAUUUUACAUAAACCACAAAUUGCACAUCACUGUACCUUUUACAACCCUUUCAUCCGUACACAGUGAAGCUAAUUUCUGAAAUACUGAGAUAUCUUUCUAUCUUUAAAUCUUAAUUCAAACGAGUAAAUUAUAAUUGCUAAAGUCUACGUUUUGAUAUUUUUUUCCAUGAAGGAGAUACUUUUUAAAUCCUACUUCAUUAAAAUAGGGAAAUAUUUUGUCUUUUCUGGAGGCUACAAGAACAACUACAAACGUAAUCCCUGUCUUUGGUAUUUUUUAAUUUCUGAUUAAAAUCACACUCAAGCUUCAUAAUCCGCUGAAUACAUUUUAAUCCUGAUGAAACAGAUUUGAUGUCAACAGUUUUGACGAGUGUAGAUACUGUUCCCUCUCGCCGACGUGUGGCGCUGUUCUGCCUAAUGUGGGGUUAUUUUAUUGUAAAGAGCAUAUACUGCAUUUCCUCUAUGUCGACAUGUACCUGUGUGAAGAGCGUCUUUUUACCUGUCAAACCUCCAUCUGUGCUGCAGACUGUCUCUGUGUGUUUAAUGCUCUUGGAUUGAGAGAGGAGCAUCUAUAUGCCAAUAACUGCGUUUAUUUACUCUAUUAAAAAUGUGAUGUACCAAUAACCAGUCUCAGUAACAGGAUUAUUACCCAGCAUGCACCACUUUAAAGCAGUUACUUUAUGCUUUUUGUUUAACCUAAGUCUUUCUUUCUUUUUUCUGAAACAGUAAAAAUUCCAACAAACGUGAGGUCAAGUUUUUUUCUUUAACUGUCUGUUUAUGAUUGAAAAUAAACGUAACCAAACUGAGAGUGAGUUUUAACCAGGACUUAACACUUAACCCCUAAGCAAUUGGUGCGUAGUAAGUUAAAAACGUUCAAGCAUAUCAUAGUAAAAUGAUCCCUAGAGCUUGGGACCUAGAGCAGUGAUUCUCAACUGGUUGGUCCCGACCCAAAAGUGGGUUCCUGGUCACGUUCUGGAUGAGUCACGAACAGCUGCUCAAAAAAUUUAAUAUUUAAUGUGAUAUUUAAUAGAUACUCAAAAAUUUCUGCACACGCAACUUCAGUAGUUGUCAUUCUCAUGUUGUCCCCUUCAUGUGCUCUGAAAUGCACUUUACUCAAUAAAACAAGUGGAUUUGUGUUAAAGAUCAGAGUCUUUUAAAGGUAUUUUUUUAAUUAUUAAAAAGAUUAAUUUGCUUGGUUUGAAUUCUAUAAAAGUGGGUCGCGACUUAACGACCAUGGGAAAAUGCGGGUCCCAGAGUGAGACCAGUUGAGAACCACUGACCUAAAGUAACAUUUCAUUGCUUUGUGCGAGACACUGUGGGAUUUUUCUCAAUCUGUUUCACGUUUUAAAAUACUAACCUACUCUCAGGGUAUUUUAUAUUCCCCACCAUUAUCACAAGGCCUGUUUGACAAAUUUGAUAGGCCCUGGGCCGGCUUUACUCCCUCCUCCUCCUCCUCCUCCUCCUCACCAUCAACCUCAUCUCCUCCCUCCUCUCCUCACCUCUUUCUCUCCGUCUGCUGCCGCUGCUCUCACAUCACACUCCUGUCUGUCUGUCUGAUGCGCUUUCUAUCCGGUAAGAGAGGAUUUUUAUGCACAAUAAAGGAGCCAGUUUAUGAUGAAUGCAGCAGGGAAAAUACACGAAGAUGUGAAGAGGGGGGGGAAAGCCACUAAACAAGAACAGGAGCUGUUAUGCACGUGAGAAACACGGGAUACGAGGUACAUCUCUCUCUCUCUCCCUCCCUUUCUCUCUCUCUCUAACUUGAUGCUACUGUAGGCCUAUUUAAAUGAACUGCAUAUUCCUUUAUUCUCUUAAUCAACACGAGAGUCUAAUUGGAGGUAUAAUUAUUGGAUUAAAGUCAAUAUUAUAAAACACGAAAUAGGUGAAGUGUUGUGUGCGUAAUUUUAGAUAUAUUUCAGUGUUUUAUUUUACUAGAGUUUCCGUAUUGGUGGUGUAAUUUGAUUAGAAUCAGAAUCAGAAUGUCCUUUAUUGUCAUCAUACUAAAAGUACAACCAGAUUGGAGAGCUUCUCUUUUUCCAGUGCAGUAGACAGGUAAAAAUAAGGUAGUAAAAGUAGUAAUAGUCGUAAGAAAGAAGGUACUAUAUAAACAAGACGAGUAUUUAUUGGUGCAUGUAGUCUUAAAGAAAAUUAAGUUACAUCUGAAAACGAAGCCAUAUUCCAAGUCCUAGCAAUCUCUCUUAAAUUAUUGCAAGCUCAUUUGUAUUAAAACUUGUUAUGGCGAAUAAUUGAUGAGUUUAAUUGAGAUAGUGUAAUAACAGCAACAUGGUCACAAUCAUUUUACGCAUGAUACGGCCUUUAGAGAGCCAAAGACUCAGCAGAAAAUCUCACCCAUGUCCUGACAGGUUUUUUUUUUCCUAAUCUCGCGAUUAAUCGACGCUAAAGUUUCUGCAAACUCCUGAAUACUUAAUGAGGCCAUGUGCUCAUGAGAGAAGUAUUCGUGUAUUAAGAAGAAGAGGAGGAGGUGGAGGUGGUGGAGGAGGAGGUGGAGGAGGAGGCCCGGGCAGCGCUGCAGUGCAGAGUUCAGCAGAGAUAUUGUUGUGAGCCUGGGAAAGUGUAGCGGGGCUGACGCCAGACUCGGUCAGGCAGGGAGGGGGGGCACCUCGAGGAUCCCAGACCGGAUUGUCAUGCUAAUGUCUCCCCGGCACGUUGUUGAACUUGAUGUUGACUUCUUUCUUUACUGGGGGGUGAGACAGAAGGGGAGGAGGAGGAGGGGGGUGAAAUUUUCCCUGUCACUUGUUUGUGGGAAAAUCCAAGUGAGGACACACACACACACACACACACACACACACACACACACACACACCAGUUUUUAACAGUCACUACAGUUGAUUUAAUCCUGAUGCAUUAUAUUUCUCAGAAUUAAUACAUUCAAUUCAACUGUAUAUCUUAAAAACCCAAUUGGCUUGUGGUUAAACAUCUUGAAAUACUAACUUGAACAACUCAAACAUUUAUUCCAACAAAACAAGUAUUUUAUGGGAUUGCUUUCAAGUGCUAAAUUUUUGCUUAACUCGGAUAUAGAAAAAACUCUUGUGCAAAAUCUGACCAGAACAGAGUCUAAUAUUUAUAUUUAAUUCAAAAUUGUAAUUUUAAAUUGUGUCUUUAAUUUGUUUCUUGGAUUGAACAUGUCUCUUCAGAAUUUGAGUUUGCAAGGAUACAGAGAUACACGUGCAUUCUCACGCCCUCCUUGCGCAUGCUCAAGAGGAUUGACAUUUGUAGCUCCAGUUAAAAUGCAAAUGCAGUAACGAUGGGUUAGUUUUAAAGGAAGUGUGUGUAGGCCUUCUUCAGCCGUGCACAGUGUGAUGUUAGUUCAAUUACAUUAGGACAGCACUAGAGUCACAGCUGAUUACAUCUACUUAGAAAUGAUGAAGAGUCCGGCUCCUCAUAAAUGAUGAAGAGGAGAACAGCAGUGAUACAGUAUGGAGGAGGUGGUCCUGUGCUGCACCUCCAUGAUACUAACAGAUUGCUCAUGCGCAAUAAUCAGAUAUGUAGCUGCUAUCUGAUGCAAGCUUCGUUGGGAAACCCGGACUGUAGCUGCUCUAUGCUCUGUUAUUGGUUUACCUUUACACACACACACACACACACACACACACACACACACACACACACACACACACACUCCAGCACCUUUUUAAAUAUCAUUUCAAACUUUGAAAGAUAUUACAAGUUGCUAUUCUCGUCUCUGCUUGGCUUCUUUUAUCAAACAGUGUGAUUAUUAUCGCUCGCACUAUCUCAUCUCCUCAGCACAGAUAUCUUUCAUAUCAUAACAUCACUAUCGAUAAGGCUGCAUAUAUUCCCUGAAUAUGUUAUCAGAGUUUGGCUAGCUGUGGGUCCUCUCUGCACCAAGGACAGGAACCAGGAAUUCCUCUGCUCAGUAUGAAUUUCUGUAUUUUUUGUUGGCUAUACUAGACUUAAAAUCAGUGCCCUUGCAGCAUCUUUUUGUCCUCUGCACAUUAUAGACACCUAAGAUCAGAAAAUACACUAUAAUAUUUUUUAUUAAUGCCCCACAAAUGCCAUUAAAGGUCGUAUAGCCUAUUUAAAAAAGCUAUAACAAUAAGAAUGGGGAAAAUGUGCUCUAAAAGCCACAGUCAACCUACAUACAGAAGUAGGGCAGCUGAGAUACUUUAUAACGUAUCUGGUUAUAUUUUUACAAUUAGCUACACAAUAUAAAAGAGAGCUAACGCUUUCAUCUCAAGUUGUUUUAUUAACGUUUUUUGUUUUAGCCUCCUAAACUGACCUUAAAAACCUUAAUUAAAUGAAACAUCUCGACAGCUAUUUUAUGUUGAGGAGUAUUAGCUUAUAACACAACAACAGUUCUGAUAAAUAAGCUAAAUGCUCUUUGAAGAUGGCUGUUUUUUUCUCCAGAAUAUUGAAUUCGAGAGAUUUUUUCUGGACUGCUAUGAACUACAAUUAUAAAAAUAAAGAGCAGUUGUCAGAGAAAUUUCUACCGUAUGGGUUUUUCAUACAAUGCUGAAUUAAUUUCACCAAAAUAUACCUUUUAUCGAUGUUAAAAACUGUAAAUGUCACAUAACUCCACCUGCCCCCCCAUUCCCCCUCUUUUUAAACUUAUCUUCACGCGCUUCUUCUCUGUCUUCUCAUUGGUCUGUUGUCUAAUGAGGAUAAUUGGUGCAAUAAACCACUGAUUGACGCACACCUGCUUUCAAUUUCCAAUAGGCUUUAAUUACUCUCUCUCUCUCUCUCUCUCUCUCUCUCUCUCUCUCUCUCUCUCUCUCUCUCUCUCUCUCUCUCUCUCUGAGGCGGAGUUUGUCCCCUCUGCUCUCUCUCACUGGGUGCACGCUCUGCACUUGUCAGUCAGUCGCAGCUCGCGCGUGCGGGAGGGAGGGAGGACACAUUGAAGCUCAUAGAAAGCUCGUGCGACAGUUUUAUCCUCGAUGAUUAUUUGUUUUUUUUUUUACUCUAUUUCCUCUGAUUGGAUGCGUUCAGAUCACGCAUCGAUCUCGGCGGGAUUGAAAUAGUUGGAGGAUAUUGACUGGAGUGGAGUUAGCUUAAUGUGCAAGUAAGUGGGAUGCUGCCUUUAUGUGAUUGAGUUGUCUCUGGCUUCUGUGUAUUUAUAUUUUAUUUUAGUCCACAGCCUGCUUUUUAAAGGCAGUUGCAUGUAUUCCUGGAGGCUGCUUAAUUCUGGUGUGUUUCUUGUAAACUGUAGCUGUGACAUUAGCAUUAAAGGAUGUUUGGUGGGAACUUUAUUGUCUUAAAGGCCCACUGCUGUGUGCCUCAAAACUGAUGCAGUCCUAACAAUGUAUAUAUAAAAAAUAACAACAACCCUGACAGCCUAAAAAAUGGGUUUAUUUACCACCAAAUGAUUGGGACAGGGUUGCAAAUGGAUGGGUUAGUGUGUCUGAUAAGGCCUUGCUUCAAGUGUUUCAAGGCAAAAAGUGCCACCUCAGCAUCAAACCGAGACUGUGGUUGAGCAUGCUUAGAGUUUUGGCAUCACAGUGUGUUUUAAAAUGGUUUCUUAAAGUUGAACUUCAUGAUGGGCCGAGAUGUGUGAGUGUGUGUGGAUGUGAAACACGUCUUUGAAGCCAGUGCCUCAUUUUAUUCAUCUAUUGAACUUGUUUUCAUCUCCUUAUGAGAAUUUCACAGCUGAAAUCCACGGUAGAGCUUUUCUUUUAUUGUGCAUCUUGUCUAUAUGUUUUGUGUGUGUGUGAGUGAGUGAGUGAGUGUGUGUGUAUGAGGAGCUCAGUGUGAACACAGGCAGCCUCUCUUUCGCUCUCUCUCCCUCCUUCAUCCUCUCCUCUCUCUCUGUUGGUGUUGGAGGGGCGGCCCCUUUAAGAGACGACGGGUGUUAGUUUGUGUCUUUGGUUAUCUAGCUGUAUGAGUUUUAAUUUCAUAAAGCUAGAGAACCGAAAGUACGAACUGACGCCGAGCACUUCGGAACCCAGGUGAUGAUGGGGGGGAUCCUCUCGCUCGCUCCGGCAUGGAGGAGGAAGAGGGGGAGGAGGAGGAAGCAGCAGCGGCAGGAGGAAAGCAGCAGCAGGGACGGAUGCUGAGGGGAGGCUGCACGAGGCUUCCGUGGAGGAGGAGGAGGAGGAGGUUGUGGAGGUUUUAGAGCUCGAGCAGAAACCCCCGGUGUGAUGUGAAUGUCGUUGGUCCACCUCAGGUUCAGAGGAGUCCUCCGCGUGUCUGCGAGCGCGUGAAUGUUGCUGCGUUUAAGGGGCUCGUGUUGUGGGCACCGCGGUGAUGCUUAAGGCCUAUAAUGAUGAAGAAAAUUGACAUUUCGUUGAAACGUUGCGCAUGUGGACAGUGCGCACCAAAACCUCCUCCGUGUGUUGUCGAGUAGUUGUCAUAACUGUGUGGGUGUUCUUACAUUAAUAUCUGGAGGGGCUUGACAGAAAUAGUUAAAAGAUUCCUCUGAUUGGUCCAACCUGGAAUCACGUGACAGUGUUGGCAGCAGCAGUAACUCGGUAUUUCAGAUCUCACAUGUUGGUUAUUGUGUUCUCUUUCCAGGUGGAGAAGUUAGCAUUGAGCAGCAAGGCCCCAUUAAUUAGAUUAAUUAGUUCUCUUGGGUUGCAUCUAGACUCCCUCACUCCCUUGUUUGUUUCUUUCAUUAUGUUGUUGACUAACUAUUUCCUCCUGGCUGUAAAGGAGUGUUAACUAUAAUAGUGUAAAAGGGUUUGGAAUGGUCUGAUCAAGUAUUUUAGCUCUGUGAAUUAAAAACAUACAUUUGUUUUGUUUCAGUUUUUUCAGGGUCACCUAAUGUGGGGUGUUUGACCAUUUGCUACCAAACCAAAACAUGCAGCAUAUACACCACAUCCAGAUCACCAGUGCAAACAAAAAAAAAAGAAAAACAGGCCCUAUGCACCACCAUCUUCAUCCUGUUUCCAACAUGCUCUCAUCACUGCGUUUGAAUCCGGGUUAGACAUGGCAGAUGCGUUCAAAUUUGUGUUUUGCAGGGUGGAUUAUUUUUGUGUUUGCCUGCUAGAUAAGAACAAAAUAGGACAUGGGCUCAGAGUUUGAUCUAUUCUUAGAGCGGAAUCAGCGAGCCUCGGAGAUGACUGAAUAUCCCUGAAGUCCCAGCAUGCUCUAUUUAGACCAUGACUGACAACAUUUGAUGUGCGCCGUUAGACAAGAGAGCCGGGAUGGUGUGUGAGCGAGUGUGCGUGUGUGUGUGAGUGUUGUUGAUGCUUGCAUAUGUGAACUAAUGUGCUAACAUACGAUUUGACCCCCAUGUCCUCCAUCUUGGUGUGAUACAAAGCAGAUCCUGGUGACGAUUCCACCUCAAUGGUUACAGAUUUUAGCAAAGGCAUUGUUGCGUCCUAUAAACAGUCAGUAGCAUAUGGCAACUUUGCUGCUGCUCUGGAGACAUAUACCACACAUCAUUGUUUUUUGGUGUGUUUUUCUUCUUAAUGUGUGACUCUUCCAGCGUCACUUUAUGUUUUUUGCUUUUCUUAAGCUGUUGAUUUACUGUUGAAGCAACAGAAAAUAUAAACAUGCUCUCUCAGGAGCAAAAUAAUUAAAAGUGUGUGGAGAAAAAAAAGCAAACAUGAAGUGCUGUUAGCUGCAAGGUCAACAACACUGCAUUCAUUUCUUCUUUUCUUCCACUGCAUUGAAAGCCUCUAUUUAUCCCUUAAGUGAUUUGUUUUGUUGAAAAGUAAGCAUACCCUGAUCUUCUUUUCUUUUCUUUUCUCUUGAUAGGAAAAUGACACCACCUCGGGAUAAAGACAAGCUGCCACCAGACAGGAUGAGGAGCGACAGAGAGCCUGCAGGUAAAUAUCAGAGAAACAUUGAGAAAUUAUCCCCUUGUUACAAGAUAAUGCUGCUGAAAGCACCAAGAGUUUGGGUGUUUGGGUAUUUAACCUUGUACAUAUUUUGUACGUAUCUUUGAUGUUUUGAAGUUGUCACUGUCAGUGUUUGCUAAUAGGAGCUCUCAGAUGGUUUCAUUUUUUAGAGUCUUGCAUAAGUGAUGGUGCAGCAUUCCUGGUUCUUGAUUUUCUUCCAUAUUUGUUGAGCUGUGAGGAUGGAGCUUGUUGUGUGUGUGCAUGUGUGUGUGUGUCGUGUGGGUGUUAAAAAAAAAAAAAGUCUGACCCUGUAUUUCUGAAAUAUUGAGGAUUUUCUGUUUUGCAUCAAGAAUGACUUGUGCUGUAGUGGACCACGCACGUCUUAUUCAAGCAGGAAGGAGCGUUAAGCGGGACAUUUAUAAGCUGGUUUUACUCGGCCACAGUGUAAAUGUCUGUUUUAUAUCAUCCAUAUAUGUAUCAUUCAGACUGUGUGGAGCUAUAGUACCCUACAGCACCACAGAGUAAACGCUGUGAUUUGAGCUAGUGAAGUAAGACCUCCAUAUUGAAUUCCAUCAUUCCUUUGAAGUAUUAACAUCUUUUACAUUGUACAUCACCCCCAUCCUCCUCCUACACACACACACACACAUGCACACACACGUCUCUCUUUCAUACUCUCACGUCCAGCGUUUUAUCCCUUUAAACACUGUGAUCCUAUUUGUCAGGUAGAGUGUGUGGUAGGUGCAGGGGAGGUGGCCGUGUAAUCUUUGCUGCGGUUCUUUAUCCCGUUAGGAGAACGCGUACGACGUUUGGAGCUGCUCAUGUGGAAAGAGCGUUUGGGUGGCUCUGUCCUUUUUGGCGCUAAUGCCUAGACAAGUCACCCUCCCCUCGCUCAAAGUCUCCUGAUUAUUGUGAGCAAAGUGACGGCAUGCAUAGAGGUAUGCAUGGUUUAGCGAAGGCAGCAUUAGGUCAAAGUUGGAAUAUCGUAGAUUACAAAAGGGAGCUAGGAAGUUAAGCACAGUGAGAAGUUUAUUUUUUCACUUUUAAAUCAAAAUUUAAUUCCCAAAUCUUUUGGCUCUUGAGGAAUAAAAUGUUUUGGUGUUAUUUUAGCGAGGACUGAAACAGACAUUCCUCGCUUUUCAGUUGUCUGUCUUUUCCCUCCAAUUCCACCCCCAAAAAAGUCCCACGUUAGGAAUUAAACAAUAAGUACACAUUGUUAGCAAGGUCAAAUCUUCAUGGUUCCACAACCUUGAGGCUCAAUCUAAAGCUCAGUUAUUCAAAUUUAGUGUGGCGUUCUUUAAGGCGCCCAGAUUUUCCCAAGCUUUCGAUUAGCAUAUGCAAGGGCCGGCCUGUGCUGCUGUUUUCUAAAGUGGAUGUAAAUUAUAACCUCAGUAUUAUACAGGCUGAUGGGAGAUAAAUCUCUGCAGUAAUGCAUUGCAGGGAGUGGGGGUAGGGUGGGUGGGGGUGCUGUAAAGGGGUUGUGCGUUUGUGUGUGUGUGUGUGCGAGGUACUGUACAAUAGCCGGUGGCAGAUGGAAUACAGACUAGCAAAGGGCUGGCUGAUAGCAUGCUAAACUCCCUUUUUACCGGCUUUAGUUUGUCCGAUUUUUACAGAUCCUGGACAAAAAAGCAGAGAUUUUCAGAGGAGAUACUUCUGAAAUAAAAAUGUUAAAUCAGCUACAUUACUGGCGAGAUGAAUUUGCAAGUGUGUACACAUUGUUUUAAAACAAAUAUUAACACAGGAAGAUUACUAAGUCGAAAUCUGCACUUGUGCGGUCCAAAGGGCUGAGGCUUCAGGCCUCACGAGCUGAGUGCAGAUCUUUUUGGAAUCUCUAUGCAAACUAGGGCUUGAAUAAUGAGAUGUAUUUAUGAAGGGCUGGGAAGGGGGUCCCUGCUUUUGAAAGCAAGUAGGCCGGAGCCUGAAUGGGAUGGAGGGAGGUGGGGUUGAAGGAGAAGGAGGGGGGGAUGAGGGGUGUGUGUGUGUGUGUGUGAGAAGAGGGGGUACAGGGGGCCCCCAGCAGCCCGGGCCUCGGCUGAGGCAGCUGUGAAAAGGGGUCCCGUCUUUUUCCCACGCCCAGCAAGACGCGAAACACUGCCGCGGCUCGCUAGGGUCAAGUCCCAUCGCUAAUAUAUACACGCAUACAUACACACGCACGCACGCACACGCGGGGAGAGCGAGGGAGAGUUGUGUGUGUAAAAGUUGUGCAAAUUAACAAGCUGUCUGGGAAGCUCUGUGACAUAGGGACACCUGCUAUACUCCCAGAAUGCUUUGCAGCCUCAUCAAGGGCCACUGGGACAACAAUUAGGUCAUAGCUUCAACUUGAACUUAAAAAUUGGCUGAAGAUUGAAAAGAGUCUGGAUCAUAUUUCUCUCUGCUGUUUUCGAUCUAAACGUUAAAAAAAUAAAAAUAACACUUUAAUGAUUCUGCUCUUGCUAAGUUUUAAAAAUACAGUUUCUAAAAUAGUUUUCUAAAAUAGUGAUCAUUGUUAGAUUUUGAAGGAAAACGUGCUUUUUUUUAUUUUUGCAACUCUAGUGUGCAAAAACACAAGUAAAUGCUGAAAUGUUGAACUUGUACGAUUGUUGCUGUGUCCAUUGACGCAGAGACAAACUUGGCCUUGUGCUUGAUCCGAGACCCUAACUGUCAACUUGGCAUUGUCUGUCUGCACACACCCAUGAUCCCACCCACCCACACGCACGCACACACACAGAGCUUGUCUCAGGGACACACAAAAGAGAAUUUGAACAUGAAUUGGAGGAAGGUUGGAGAAAGAUAUUGAGGAAUGUUUUAAGUCUGAACUCUGACCUUUUGUGCUUCUUUAAAUUUGAAAACAGGCACAAUGUGAGAGACCAAAAACACUGACGACCGACGAUGAGCCUGAAAAGAGAGGCAAAAAUCCUACUCUUAAAAAAUAAUCUCCUUGGUCUAAAUCUUGUGUGAAAUUGUAGUUUCUUGUUUAGAUAUCAGCUUGUAUCUUUGACCACCCAUUGUUGUUUACAGCAGCCAUGCUCCUUUCUUCCUCUUGAAGCUGGUGUCACACCCAUUCCUCCCCUCAAGAUACUGGCACACCAAUCAAAUCGGUGCAUCACUUCUUUCACUCCCCGCCGUAGCUGCAUCAGAGCGGUGUCACACUUAUUCUCUUCCCCCUGCCUACUCCAGCUACUUUCUUGAAUUCCACAUGGAGACUCUCCUGUUAUGGUUUUUAGAAUAUUAGCAAAAGCAUCCAAUCUUUUUCUUUUUUUGGUGUCUCACCCUCCUCCUCCCCUGCUCCUCCUCCUCCUCCUCUUCGUCAUCAUUUUCCCUCCUAUUCAGAGAAGUCUGAAAUAGAGAGGGGGCUCCUUCUAAUUAGCUCUGUAAAGAUGCUUUGUGGCGGUCAGUGUGGCCACCAGUGUGUGCAGAGAGAGGUGAUGUGUGACAGCUAGUGUUAGCAUUAAGAACAUGUGUAUGGGCCCUUAAUGAGGUUUGUUAGCUGAGUGUGUAUCCUGCCGUUUGAAUGCACCCUCGGCAGCCUUUGAAGGAACGGAGAUGAAGAGAGCGAGGAGGAGGAGGUGGAAAAGGAGAGAGGAGUCUUUCAGCGUGGCAGGUUGCAGAAUACAGAUUAUGCAUUAUGCUCAGUGUGGUUUCUAUUUGAACGGAAGAUGAGGGGAGCAUAAUGCUUCACUUGCACGUUGUCUGGGGAAAACGUGGGAAAUAAACGCAGGUCAUCUCGCUCAUCAGAUGUAAAGGAGUUAUUUACCUGGUCUUAUGACAUUUGCAGUGAUUCCAGUAAGUCUUAACGGUAUAAGAUAAGCGAAACAGGAGAGCGAUAGAGCUGAUUUCCUGUAAAUAUAAGAUCAAAAUUCAUCUCUAUGUUUGUAUUUUAUGUAGUUUUUUUUUAAGGUCAAGCUUAUUAACAAGAUAUAAAAAGAAAGGGUAAAAAAAAUAGUAAAUGAUAAUAUAAAAUCAGUUAGAAGAGAGCUAACAAAAACAUCCAAAUUAAGAUUAGACGCGACAAAUUUAAAUAACCAAAUAAAAUAUCUAAAGAGCCAAAUGGAGAUAUAUAACUGCACAUCCUCAAUCCUGUUAGACCAGAUCAUGUUGAUGUACAGUAUGAUUCAGAAAGGACUCCCAUACGUUAUAAAAUGUUUAAUUAUUGUCACGCCGCCAAGCUUCUGGUGCAUGAGAGGCCUUAUGCUAAUUCGUUUAUAAUAUGUAGUCAUGAAUGGGGCAAAGAAGGACAGGAGCGAACUCACUGGAAAAGAGAGCACCAUUUAUAAAUCUGUAUUGGGACACCGAAGUGUUUGGAUCACCAAUUAUUUGUUAGUUUUUCUGCUUUUAAGGAUUUUACAAUGAGGAAACACACUACUGUUCAUCCAUGGAUAGACAAUCAGGAAAUAAUAAUCAUGUACUAUGAGGUGAGAAACAAACAUUUCAGACAGAAUGUGGAGCAGAUUUGGUGGUUAUCCUGGAGAUUAGAGAUGUCGAGCUGCAGAUGAGAGCCAGAGGUGGAAGGUAGAAGCUGAGAAAAACCAGGUUGGGAAAUGAGGGAUUGUAUGGAGGCAAAGAGGCGACCUGCUGGGCUUGCCUGCUGCCUCACAGAUUGUAAACUGUCACUCAGGAUGCACACAGACAAGCAGACAGACAUCAUUUGCCCACAUCACCCUCUACUACUGAAACUGUCGCCCCGCAGCCCCCUACUGCUCCCCUUCUUUUUCCUUCCCUUCACUCCAUUUCCAGGCCUUUUUCUCCUUGGCGCGUGCACAUGCAUGUAUAUAAACUCCCUAAUCUAUUUCCUCUAUUUUCCAGCUCCUCUCCUCUACUUUUCUCUCUGUCUCCGGGUUUUCCGUUGAUGAAAUGAGUCAGCUUGCAGCAUACUCUCCCCUCUCAUUGUUCGCUGGUUCGUUGCCUCUCCAUAGGAGGUAGAGAGUGUUUGGGCUCUUUCCCCUGUUUUACCAGUUUACCAGUGUAAUCCUUUACAGCGGCACAAUGAGCUCUCACUCCAGCCGCAGGAUUCUAUUAGGCUCCCAGAGAGACAUGGGAUCUCCAUAAACAUUUUCCAUCUGCCCCUGAACCCCCACCCACCCUCCCUACACAACCUAUACCACCUCAAACACAGCCAAAAUAAUACUUUCCUUUAUGCAUUAAAAGCAGAACUCUGUUUUUUACCCAUCCACAGAGAAGAGAGAACAAAAUCGUACACACGCACAUUACAAACGACUUGUUAAUGCUGUCAGCUUCACUCCCAAAACAGUGGUCUUUUACAACUGCAGAACGAAUAACAAGCAGCCGGGGACAAGCAAAUGCUUGUUAUAUGGUCUUUGGAGGAAAACAGAAGAUGUUUAAAAAAAAACGCUGAAAUCAGAGGAGGAUGUGAUUUGUGCUCCGUGCUGAAAGUACAAUGCCGUUAAAGUGUGCGGAUAAACUCCUCAAUCUGUUAUCUCAUGCUGGUGGUGCAGAUCAGAGUUGGAGCCGGUUUUGUGUUUCAGUGAAAACUUUAAAAAAUGUACAAAAAUAAGUCACUUUAUUUGAAUCCGGUAGAAGAAAGUAGUUCAGGAAAACAGCUCAGCACUAGUAGAAGAGCACAUCUUCAGAUUCAAAUACUAGAAUCAGCAACACAUAGAAGCAGCGUUUAAUGAAAACUCCUUCAACUUUGGGUUUAUUAACUUGGGUGAGCCUUUGAUCAAAGCUGUUUUUGCUUAUCUUGUUUUAUACAUGAGUGUAAGUGUUUUCUUUUCUCCUCUUUUUUCUUUUAAAAGUCACAUGUAUCACUCAUUGUGAAUCUUUGCUCAGAAAAUGUUGCUCCAGCAGUGUGCGGUACUUUGUCUUACACCCACAGCAGCAAUUUUAAGUAAAAACUUUAAGAGUUUUUAGGCAACUGGAAUUAAUAUUGUGCCAUAAAAUAUUUCAACCAGCUAUGCACUCAAAAGUCAGCCUGCUGCCUCAUACAGACUUUUUGACCUCUCGAGACACAGGAAACCAAACGCAUUGGUAGCUGAUUUUAAAGUUUUUUAUGUAUUUUUUAUGUUCUAUACAUGCAGUCAUGGCUAAUUCUGAAAACAAUCCCCCAAGAUUCAGACAAAUAGUUGAGUAAAUAGCUGAUGCCUUGUGUGCUGUUUUAAACUCUGCCUUGAACAAAUAGAGCAUGCAGAAAUAGUUGACACACAUUCACCGUGUUAUAAGAGCAAUCAGGACAAAGACUGCUGUGCUUUUUUUUUUUUAUCAAAUAAAAUUCAUAAAGUGUCCUGUUCUAGUUUCCAAUCAGAAGCAGGAGCUGACUGAGGCGAUGAGCAGCCUUUGAUUGACCUUAAACGAAGAAUCUGGUCCUCGAAAAAAGACAAAUCAGGAUUAUUUGAACGUUUUUUUGUGAAUUGCCAAAUUAAAGCCCCAGUGAUGACUGACCUGAUACUGACUACUGAGGGCUACUUGAUUUAUCUUCUUUAUUGAAUCUGAUUUUGUGCUUGAAAUUGAUGUAACUCUUGAGGCUUCCUCAGAUGUAGAGUUAACCCUUAAGUCUAACUUUGUUAUUCUGUUAAAUGUGAAAGAAUAAUCACCUUUAACUCUUAAAAAUCCCAGCCUGUGUAUUGCUGCUGAAAUGCAUUUUUUUCAACAUCCCCCUGAUUUGUUCAAGUCCAAAGCCACGGGUCACACAGUGCUUCUUUCUCCCCCCCUCCGUCCCUCUCUUGCUCCUCCUCAUACACAAACAUAUCCCUCCAUCUCCUGUCGGCCUCCCUCCUCCUGCCCCUCCGUCCUUCCCUCUCCUCCUAUCUUGAUAAUGCAGCUCUUUUCUCUCUGUCGGGGUGGAGGGCUGCCUGAACCAACAUUGUCCCCUAUGCCGGCUCUAGUGGGGGGCCCUAUUGUGUGUGAAGGAAUGGGGAGUUAACACCCAUGUCUGAACCUGCUCAAUGGGUGCAUUGUGUCUGAAUCUUCCCUCGGCUCACCCAAUCUCACCCUGCGUCUCUCCUGCCCUUGCACGGGCCAAGGAAGGCAGGGUGUCCUCCAUGUCCUCAGCCAUUAAAAACAGAAAACAUAAACACAACUCAAAACUCACAAACACUCAAACUGGUAUUCUCAGCUCUUUGCUUUCUGUGUCCGGUUGAGUUUUCCAGCAAACUGCAGUGGGUUCAACACACUCCUGCACAAAAAGUGGGGGGUCAGUGGGUGCAUGGUUACUAAAGGAGGCCCCUGCGUCUCGUUUUUGUUAUAGAACAGAACAGAGAGAUGUAUAAAGGACAAUAUUGUAUUAGCAUGAUAACAGGAUUCAGAUGCUUUUUGAAAUAUCUCGAGUUGUAGGGCGUCGAUUGAAUCGGCUCAAAUUAUUACGUUAGAUUCAGCAAAGUUUCAAAGCAAAUCGUUCAAAAGAAUCUGAGGCAUGAUUAAAAAAGAUAUUAGACAUAAUGUUGAACCCUAUUGAAGUAUAAAGUGGAUUUUUUAUUGUGAGUUUUAAUGAGAGUGAUUUAUAUUUCAGGUUAAACAUUUAAAACAAUGAGCAGAAAUGGACUCGUCUGUUUCAGUAUUCUGAACAUUUAUUUGUUUCUGUAGCAGCGAGAGCCUUGGGGCAGGUUACAAAAGAGCAAGUUGGUGUUUUCUUCCCACAUAUUUUUAAUCAAAGUGUUAGUGUUUACAUUUGCAUUUGCAUUGAGCACAGGGAGGCUGAAUGCCAAAGGUGAGAUUUUGAAAAACACUCUAUUUUCCCUUUUUUUGCAGAUGGAAACAAGGGUGGGUGGUUGGAAGGCUGCAUAAAGGCUGCUGGAUGACUGAACUCAGAGACCCGGUGCAGCUCAUCAUCAUUGCCACGGGCUUUCGUCUUCCUCCUCUUUCUCCUGUGGCCCCGUACCAUUCCAUCCAGGGGUCCAGCAGAGCCAGCGAAGCCCAGGCGGGGAGCUUGUGAGUGGGCUGGGAAGGAUGGAGAAGCUCCCUGAAGGCUCGGAGCACCUCUGGAGCUAGCGGCGUGCAGGAGAAAUCAAUAUGAAACACAGAGCGCUGCACAGCUCUGAGUGGGGUUUCCUGUGUUAGUCUGCGGCCUCGGGGCCCGCAGACCUCCAAAGGACAGGCCCUGCAUGGCCCCUCUCAGCUGCAGAACCGGACCUCAGUUCCGAUCUCCGCUGGCUGUGUGUGGUUCUGCUGAAGGGGAUUGCUCCCCAAAUAAUACCCAGAAUGUGGAGAGACCGCCGAGAGGGAUAUUUCUUUUUCUCUUGAUUUUUCCUUCCUUCAUAAGAUUGACAUAUCCCCCACCUCCUGCCUCCAGCUGCUUAAAAACCAGUUUGGGAGAUCUGCUUUGGACUCUCUCUCCGUUCUCAACUCACCCGCUGUUUAUUCCCUGACCAGUUUUUAGAUUUGACAAAGAGACAGUACGAUCUUUAUUUUCUCCUCCACUUUCUCUUGGCUUGCAGUUACCAUGGUGAGCUGUAGAUGUGUCUGUUACGACCAGAAACGCAGGUACACGAAGUUUCAGCAUCUUUUUUUUUUUUUUUUGCUCCUCCAUGAUGUCUGCUCUUCAAUGCAAGACUGUAAAAAAAAAGUUCCCAACCACAGAGAGGGAGGAAGAUCACAGAGCAGAGAGACCCUGACACUCUGUAGAGGAGCUGGUGAAAUGGCAAGUAUCUCUCUUAAGCACUCAACAUAUUCCACUCCAUGAACAGCUCUCAGUGUGCUCUCAUUAAGUCAAACCCUGCCUCAUAUGGUGCUGCAUGUGUGUGUUUGUGCUCCCUUGUACCUCACAUGGUUCAGGGGGAUGUCAAUUACAGCUUCAAACAGAGGUUUCCCAAACUCUCAGAAAUACUUAGAAGUUAAAAAAGUUAAUCGGCAUAUUUUCAUCAAACCCCUCUGAUCAGUUGAAAAAACGUGUUUCUGUAUUCUCCAGCACAGAGCGCUCUGUUUGUGUGUGUAAGUGGUCUGUAUACGCUCCCAUUUGAACGGGUUUGCCAGUGUGCAGCAGCAGCAGCAGCAGCAGCACCCACAGCUCGUCAUCACAGCGAUGCAGUACGCCUGUUCCCAUCCAGAUGGGCACAGAUUCAGACAAAAUGGCCGCCAGUCUUCCCACUCUGCCAAAGAUGGCGGGCGCAACUCUGUCGCCUGCCAUCUGUGCAUCCGUUAGCUGUUGUCCAAUGCAAAUCAGGGCUAAUUGCAUUUGCAUAACCUCCAAACCGUCAGGUCGUUUGCACGCUCUGGUAAUUGCUCGUAUGAAGCGACGGCGUAGAUGACGUUCAAGCAGAAGCGCGUUCGUGUUUUAGCGUGUUUUGGGGCAUAAGUGUGUGGGUUGUUUUUUUUUAGGUUGUGGGUUUUGGCGUGCUGAAACAUGUCUGAUCGCUCCCUGAGAUCAAGAGUGUGGUCGUUCUGUGCCAUAUGGCGUGUUUGCGUGUGAUUCCCUUGCAUGCAAAUGUGACACUGUACUGAAAGAUUAAGUCAAAGCUGUUUUAGAAUCAGAGCUCUGUCACGCACACACACACAGACACACACACAUACAUAAUACACAGAUGAAAGCAUUAAGCAAAUAGAGCAGCUCAGACAUGCUCACAGGCUUUAAUUAAAAAGGGAUCCAUAGGCCCAACAAACUCUAGACACACCGCCAUCGUAAUAGUCUCAUAUUCAUGCACGUUGGUGUCUGGUUACCAUGGCGCUAAACAAAUGGGGGAAAUGGUUAAAUUAGCCGCACAUGACACGAUAAAUAGGUGAUAAAUUCUCCUGGUGAAGAAUGAUAUCAGUGUUAUUUCAAAGGAAUACAGAGUGAGACAGAAACGAUAGAUCUGCUGAAGGAUCAGCUGGAAAUAUUUCACCCAGAGAUCCGAUAACCUGGUGAAUACUGUUCGGAUCUGUUUAUGUAAUCAGACUGAAGCGCUGUGAAAUUGAAUAUCUCACGUUUCUGCUUUUCCACCACUGUGUCGCUUUCGAAGUCUCAUUUGAUUGAGCCGCUCUUGUUUUUGGGGGGCGUUUAUUCAUGUGAUGAGAGUCGUCUUUGUAACAAGGCGGCGCUCGUAUUUGCAUUCGCCCAUCGGGGCAGCUGCAGUGCUGUACAGUUAUGUCUACUGUGGGCAGCAAAAUGGCGGUCACGCAAAUCACAGGGUCUGUCUGCUGGUCGUGGGAGCUGAGGCGAGAGAGGAGGGGGAGGAGGAGGAGGAGGGGGAGGAUUUCAGGGCGUCUGGUUUGAGAAUAUGAGGGAAGGUUGCAGGGUCUAGACUAUGGGGUUGGGGGGGUCGCUCAUGAGGGGAUGAUGGAGUGGGGGGGGGUAUUUGUAGAGGUUAUUAUUUGAAGGGGGGGGUGUCUGGUUUUAGGAGGAGCAAUUAAUGAAGGAGUGAAGAGGAGAGGAGGGGGUUUAGUUUGUCUGCAUUUGUGAACAUGUGUCUGUGUCUCGGACAUUUGCAUAGAGCAAAGAGGGCGUCCAUAUGCCGCGCGGCACGGGGAGGCGAGGCGGGUCUGUCAUUUCAGGGUCUGAGCUGAGCGAAGACCUUGCCAAACACCCAGGAACACACACUUUACCACAGUCCUCACAAUAACUCUGAAGCACUCCUACCAUGCUAGAGCCUCAUGUUAGCAGCAUCACUGUUUCUGUCCUUUUUACCAGCCAAUGAGGGGACGCGGAGCUGCUUUCAGCCAAUAACGGCGCGUAAAGACCCAGGAAGAGGAAGGGAAGGCGCGGAGAGUUUACCCUUGAUGUGCCAGGCGAGAGAGGAUAAACAAUAAAACGCUUCUGCGCGGAGAGAGAGAGAGAGAGAGAGAGAGCACAGGGGGAGGAAGAAAAUGAGCAUCACUCUGCAUUCAUAACCCAGUUGGAAGGCAGAAAGAUAGAAAAUAAAGCAGCUGAUUAUGGGGAAAUAGAGAUCGAACGUCACACAUUUUCUUUGUAUGCCAGACACAGGGUGGUAGAAUGAUUACACGUCAAUCUGAGGGGUACAAAGGCAAAGAAAAGCCCCCCCUCCGCUGAAAAGAAAUGGAGUCAUGAAGACGGCGAGAGCUGCCAGGCAUAAAAACAUAACAAAACUCUUUAACAGGAGCGGAAAGAGGAACAAAAUAUUCCUUCUAAAAUGAUCUCUGUUGAAGAGUGCACUCUUAAUGUGAGGCAAAAAUGAUCAUAAGAGUGUUUCAUUUUCUGCUGUAAAAUCAGACAUGGGAUUUUUAAAACCUAGAUUUAUUAUUCAUGUGUUUAAACAGGACCUUCGUUAUAUCGUUGCUACACAAACGAUAUUCCAGUGUUGCCUUUAGCUCAUGAAAAGAGACACAGAAGAAUUACAGCAUUUUUAAAAAGUCUGUCUCAUAUUUUUAGAGUCACAAAAAAUCUGACUUUAUUUAAUUCAGACCUUUAAUUACUACACAUUAUAUUAAUUUUACAUAAUAGAUUUCAGUUUUUAAUAAUUGCAGUUCUCUUUUUAUAAAAUUUAAACAUAUCCGAAUUAAAGUAGUUCAUUUCAAGGCGAGAGGAAAGGAAAGAAAGGUCUCUCUCUCUCUCUCCAUCUGAGAAGAAAUGAAGUCAUGUAUAGACAGGUCGUGGUCGUCAAAAGGCCUUAAACAUGCAGACAUCCAGACACAGACACAAUGCAGAUCUCCAUAAUGUGGCACAUGAAUACUGGCACGUUUAAACCACGAUCGUCUCGGAGCUGAGGGUCUGAGUGGAGCGUGGGAAUGUGUGGCGAACAUAUGCAGAACAGUCAGGCGCUGGCGAGACGGCCCUGCUAGCAUGAAUGCUGUCGUAGCAGGUGAAAAGAGGACCCUAGAGUUCAGGGGUCAAGGCCAGUGCAGGGGCUGUCUGGCUCAUGUGUGUGUGUGUGUGUGUGUGUGUGUGUGUGCGUGUGUCUAUGUGUGUGUGAGAGAGAGAGACACGCACACACUCUGGUUGUCGUCUGGGUCUUGAUGCUAAUGAAGUAGCCCGGCUGUUUGAUAAGCACUGCUGUCUAUUGUUAGCCCAGUCUGGUGCUUCAGAGAGGACUAGACGGGGUGUAGGUUUGGACAAGAGCUCCUUCAUCAUGUUCUAGUCGCAGCAGAGCAGCAGACAGGCAGAUCGACAGGCAGCCUGAAGUCAGGCCUCCCCUGCUGAAACUCUGAUUGUGUUGUCUAGAAGACUUCUGUGCUUUCUCUGACGUUCCCCCUCUGAGUGACACGUUGGUCUAGGGCUCUGCAGUGUGGUGCCGCUCU
rnacentral:lncRNA from 1 species